AAAGUCGUAACAAGGUUUCCGUAGGUGAACCUGCGGAAGGAUCAUUACCUUUCAAUGCAGCAGAAUUGGGAUGGUUGAGUAUCUCGCCUUCCAAUUCUGCCUGUAUUCCACCCUUGUUUGUCAUACUAUUAUUUCCUCGGCAGGCUUGCCUGCCGAGUGAAACCAAUUAUAACCUAUUUAAUUUUCAAUCAGCGUCUGAAAAAAAUUAAUAAUUACAACUUUCAACAACGGAUCUCUUGGUUCUG
rnacentral:misc_RNA from 1 species